rnacentral:sRNA from 1 species
CCACCUCUCCAGCCCUGGAAUGAGACUCUUAUAGCUACAGCUGUAGCUCUGAGAGCCUGGGGCACCCGCUCAAGUAUCCAAGCCCUUGUGUCCCGGGGCAGACAACUGGACCAGGAACACAUGCAAAAGAAUGAAAACAGGGAUAGCUGAAAUCCUUUCCCUAUUAUGACCUAUUUCCAGACAGAACAACUCAGGGAAUCAGCUCCUACACAGAGCCAAAGAAAUAUUUUGGGUUUUGCCCCUGCCUUUGGGGGUGGAGUUUAUUUUCUGUGACCUGACAGGACUUGACCUGAGGAAUUCUGAUUUGCUUUGAGGGAGAAGAAGGCGCGGGGGUGGGGUGGGGGGGCAGGAGGCCAUGAGGAGGUCAGAGAGAGCCCUUUCGAGCUCUUUCAGUGAGGACAGUUUAAUGCAUUCAGCCAAAUACCAUAUUCACUCCAGACAGCUGUACUUGUUUUCCGAGCCUAGAGGCCCCACUUCCCUCCCCCUUCACCUCUCCCAUAUUGGCAAGCUUUGCCUGUCACCUGCUUCAAUAGCAAAUUAAACUGAACCUGGCUGAACACACAUGGAAACCCUGCAUUUGUGAGGCUAAUGUGGGAGGGUCCUAAGUUCAAGGCCAAGCUGGGCUGUAGAGCCAGAGCACCCCCCCCAAAAAAAACCCCACAAACCAAACCAUGCCAUUUAAUUCUUUACCUCUUCUUACUCCGUCCCUUCAGCAUCCCUACCCCCAUAUGCUCUGUGCUGGCUUUAAGCAGCCUCUACCAACAUUUGUUUCGUUCUCUGCCUGAUAGCUGUGGUUCUUUACAGCUCAGCUUGACUGUCGCUUCCUCACAGCGGCCUUCCCUAACUAAGCAGCAUCUUGUAGCGCUAGAAGCCCCAGCUCUACAGCUCCUUUGUGAGCUGGCAGAGUCACGUGCGUCUGUCUGUGAGAACUGACGGGGCUGAGACUUUUGCUUCCUCUCCGUGGAGCCCUCACGGUGCCGGUAGAAGUCAGCUAUACACCCAUCCUCGAGAACACUCGUGGCAUAGCGCGCAAGUACUUGAGGGUGGCUUUGAAUUUCAUGCGCGUCUGUUGGGGUGGCAUUUAGUAGAAAGUGUUCUUCCACAAGCUGCCGCUCAGCCGUCUGCGCUGGAAGGGCUGGGGGAACUGUUCAUCCAAAGAUGCGAAGAGAAAGACCACCGACCCAAAUCAUCAUGGCCCAAUGAAUUAAGGCAGGCGAUUCAUUAAAGCAAGCUUUUUAUCUGUGUACACGGGUUGUCUCCCCCUAAGGCAGGGUUCAAGAGGUCAGCUUUGGACUCACAGUUUUUAUAGCUCAGGGGUAGGAGGUUUCUGAAUGGGGAAUUUGGUGGACAAAGUAGGCAGGGUAUAGGAGCAGAAAUAAAGCAUUAAAAAAUUAGUCAUAACCACCUCCUGAAAGGAAGGCAUGAGUGCAAGGUGAUCACGUGAUAGUCACAGCAAGGUCGUCAGAGCAAGGUAGGCUUAAUAACCUUUUGAAACAAGGUAGGGUUGCAUGAUGGUUAUAACAACUUUUGAAAUGGAGACAUGGUUGCUGUUUCCUGGGGCAGGCAGUACAGGACCAUUUGUACUUAAGGUAACAGGUGGGGCACAGCACAAUCCUUGAGAAACAGAGUUUCAAUCCCAAAGAGGAGUAGACCUGCUUUGUCUUUAACGUGAGGUAACUUUCAAGUCAAAGAUGGCGGUAGGCUGGUUUAUCAGAACCAGGUCUUCCUCCCAGCAGUUCAUCUGUCUCAAAGGCCUCCUGAAGAAGUGUCCACGAGGGGCUGCCUAAACCAGGGUGAUUUUUAUAAAUGUAAGAGAUUACUGUGGGUCAGACACAAGAGCUGAAGCACUUUAGCUGACUUGAGGCUUUCCUCAUGGGUUAUACCAGAAAUGAGGAGCUUUGUUGACCUGGGAAUGAAAGUGUCCUGAGGGCUUUCGAUCAGUGCCUCCAGCUCGGUGAAUGAGAGCCUGAAAUGGGAGCCUCGUCCUUCAGUGAGGAGGGUUGCGCAUCACAGAACCAAGACAGGCUCAGACCUCUUCUUCCUGCACUGUGGUCGGAAGGUAUUUCCGCAUAGAAACGUGGUCCAGGAGGUGGAGCCGAGGAGAAGGCUGGUGAUCUUAUUGGUGCUGAGGAAACGGCUGGUGAUCUUAUUGGAGCCCUUAGCCACCUGCAUGUGUUUACCGAUCUCUUUAUCUCAUUGUCUCGCUGUCCCCUCGUUUUCAACAUCUCCCACUGACAUCACACCCGGACUUUCGGAAAG